GACGAACGCUGGCGGCGUGCUUAACACAUGCAAGUCGAACGGAAAGGCCCUGCUUUUGUGGGGUGCUCGAGUGGCGAACGGGUGAGUAACACGGGAGUAACCUGCCCUUGACUUUGGGAUAACUUCAGGAAACUGGGGCUAAUACCGGAUAGGAGCUCCUGCGGCAUGGUGGGGGGUGGAAAGUUUCGGCGGUUGGGGAUGGACUCGCGGCUUAUCAGCUUGUUGGUGGGGUAGUGGCUUACCAAGGCUUUGACGGGUAGCCGGCCUGAGAGGGUGACCGGCCACAUUGGGACUGAGAUACGGCCCAGACUCCUACGGGAGGCAGCAGUGGGGAAUAUUGCACAAUGGGCGGAAGCCUGAUGCAGCAACGCCGCGUGCGGGAUGACGGCCUUCGGGUUGUAAACCGCUUUCGCCUGUGACGAAGCGUGAGUGACGGUAAUGGGUAAAGAAGCACCGGCUAACUACGUG
rnacentral:rRNA from 1 species